CACUGUUCACUGAAGCCUAUCUUUUACAGAAAAACUGCACACUAAAGUUUGCUAUGAAUGCACAAAUCUCCCAUUACCAAACACUCUGUAGUCCCAAGUUAUGGGGGAGAAUAUCACACGUGGAGGAGGACUUGCCAGAAACACUGACCACAAAAAAAAUCAGAUACAAGUCAUUUCAGCUAACAUUUAUAUCUUCCUUAGAUCCACUGGACUGCAACUCUUACCUGUGAGGAGCCACUCUGAAUGAUCCACACCUUCCAUCCUGAAACAAGAGCCUCUGACCAAUCACUACAUUUCGUAGUGACUUGGCAUUAUCCUGUUUCAGCAAGUUAAGGACAUGACUUCAUCUGUUCUUCUGCAGUCAGGGAACUGCGCUGGUUUCCAUAACUUGGCUAUUAUGAAUCAUGCUGCUAUAAACAGUGAUGUGCCUAUAUCACUGGAGUAUACUGAUUUUAGUUCUUUUGGAUAAAUACCAAGGAGUGGGAUAACUGGGUCCUCUGGUCAUAUGGUGUAUUCAUUCCUAGUCUUUUGAAGAAACUCCAUACUGCUUUCCAGAGUGGUUGUAGUAAUUUGCAGUCCCACCAACAAUGUGUUAGUGUACAUUUUCCCCCACAUCCUCAGAUUGAUAUUGACCAAAUUAUGCUAGGUACAUAUGUAAAUAUGUCAUAGUAAAUUUCACCAUUAUGUAUAUCUAUAAAGCAUUAAUUUUUUAAAAAAACUAUAAAUAAAUAAAUAAAUAAAUAGAAGAAAAACCAGUACAACAGAGGAAAGGGAGCAGGGAGAGAGAGGAAGGGAAAGAAUGGAGAAGUACCAGGGACUGAAGUGAAGCAAAUUAUAUUUUAUGCUUGUAUGACUACGUCAAAACAAACCCCACUGUUAUGUAUAACUAUAAUGACUAGUAAAAGUAUAAAAUAAAUAAAUAAACUCAACAACAGCAACAAAACAAAUAAUCCAGUUUUUAAAUGGGCAAAUGAUCCUAAUACACAUUUCUCAAAAUAUGAAAUAAAAAUGAUCAGCAUUAUAUGAAAAAAUGCCAAACAUCACUAGCAUCAUGGAAAUGAAAACCACAAUGAGAUCUCUUCCUACCCAAGUCUGAAUUCCUAUAAAAUGACCUAAAAGGGGCUGGGGUUGUGGCUCAGUGGUAGAGUGCUUGCCUAGCAUAUGUGAGGUACUGGGUUUGAGUCUCAGCACCACCAAGUAAAAUUGUUAGAGGUGUCGAAGUAUAAAAGAUGCAUGACCCCAAGAUGGUUAAGAGAUAAGAAGGGGGAGGAUUCUAGGCCAGAAUGUGCCUGUUUCAAAGACAAUUCAAAUUCUAGCCUUUAAAACAGGGAGUUUUUAUUUCAAGUCUAGCCUUUGUUAAGCAUGGGUGGUUUAUUCUGUACUAUGGUGGGAAACUUAAGUUCUUGUUGGAAACAUCUAGUAGUAGAUGGCUAAAGUAAUUCCUUGUUAAACUUUGAUGUCUUGAAGAGUAUGUUGAAGGUUCAUUGGGUGUGGGGGUGGGGAGGAGAAAGUAUGCAGAAACAUUCUGUGCCCCUUAGAUUAGUUCAGACUGUCUAGCCAUUAUUAUUUGUACAUUUUAGUUAAUAUUGCCAGGUAUUAAAGGGUAAAUUCUAAUGCCCCAAGUUUGUUAGAAGUAGCAAAAUAAUUCCUAUAUAAACAUCAUUUUGUUAGUUUUUAGGAAAAACUGUCUUCUGGGAAUGACCUUUGUUAAUCCACCUCUUGGAGCUAGGCAUAGUCCUGAACUUAGUCACUGGAAUGGUGAAGAGGGAGACAAGGAAGGGUGAGGGGAAGUGCUUUUUUCAAGUAUCUCCAUAGCCAGAAGACAUUUUUGGAUUAUAACUAUAGAUCUAUAUGUGCAUUUUUGGUAAAGUAUUAAAGUUCAUUGUGCACAAAGUUCAUAAUUUAUUUCACAACAUCUAAGCUUUCUAGAUGUCCUGAAGUGACAGUGUAUCAUAAAAAGUAAAGCUAGUGAAUUAGCCAACUUGUAAGAAAAGAUGCAUCUUGGACAUGAAUUGUUUUAUCUCUGGGCAGUGUGUAUCAGGACUUGUUCAUCAGGCUGGCAGCAGAAGGGCACACAGAAGCACACAGGGAAAGGUGGGAGCAAAUGCUCAAGGAUUUACAUUCUGAUGUGAGCCACUGGUGUGUGUGCAUCUUCUAGCUGCACUAUAGGAAUCCUUUAAUUCACAGGGAACAUGCAUUCUUGCUAAUAUUUUAGAAGUAGAAAUCUGAUAAUGAACACUCUUAAAAAUAUGCUUGGUAUAUUCUGUUGCUUUAGCUAAUUUUAAAUUGACCAUUAAAGAAUGCAUCAUUUUAAUUGUAACUCUGCCAAUAUGUCUAUCUAGAGGCCUGUUAACAUUUCUGUCUUCAGUGAAAUUUUAGUCCCCAAGAAAGGAUUACAAUUUUGUUCCAAGAAAUUGAGUUUGAGUAGUUGUUUCAGUCAGCUUUUCAUUGCUGUGACUAAAGGACCUGACCAGAACAAUUAUAGAGGGGGGAAAGUUUAUUUAAGAGCUCAUAGUUUCAGAGAUUUCAGUCCAUGGACAGCCAGCUCCAUUCCUCUGGGCUUGAGGUGAAGCAAAACAUCAUUGUGGCAAAGUGUGGCAGAGAGAAGCAGCUCACUUGAUGAUCAGAAAAACACAGAGACUCCACUCACCAGAUACAAAUAUAUACCCCAGGGACAUACCCCCUUCAGCCACACCCAACUGGCUUUUAAUUACCAUUUGGUUAAUCCCAUCAGGAGAUUAAUUCACUGAUUGGUUAAAGCUCUCACAACUCAAUCAUUUCUCCUCUAAACCUUCCUGCAUUGUUUCAAUCAUGAGCUUUUGCGGGGGACACUUCACAUCCCCCCAAAGCUUUUAUGUGAGCUUCUACAGACUGUGGAGUCCUACAGUCUAACCUUUCUAAUGCAGAGUUUUGGGGGGAUACUUCACAUCCAAACUAUAACAGUAGGUAUUCUUGAUUGUCAAAAAUACCCAUGUAGCUUUGGGAUUUUGAGUUGGUGAAUAUUCAUGAUGUGUGGAAAAGCCUGAUGUACAUACAAUACCAAUGACACAAAAUGGGAUGUUAUAUAUGUAUAUGCACAACCUGGAGAGAUAUAUCCAACUAAGCUGCUUGUGACUAUAUGACUUUGUUUUUGCUCG
rnacentral:lncRNA from 1 species